rnacentral:misc_RNA from 1 species
CCAAUAGCGUAUAUUAAAGUUGUUGCAGUUAAAAAGCUCGUAGUUGAAUUUCGGGGUUAGUAGGUUGGUCAUGCCUCUGGUAUGUACUGGUCUCACUGAUUCCUCCUUCCUGAUGAGCCGUAAUGCCAUUAAUUUGGUGUUGCGGGGAAUUUGGCCUGUUACUUUGAAAAAAUUAGAGUGUUUAAAGCAAGCUAACGCUUGAAUACAUUAGCAUGGAAUAAUGAAUUAGGACGUUCGAGCCUAUUUUGUUGGUUUCUAGGAUUGACGUAAUGAUUAAUAGGGAUAGUUGGGGGCAUUAGUAUUCAAUUGUCAGAGGUGAAAUUCUUGGAUUUAUUGAAGACUAACUACUGCGAAAGCAUUUGCCAAGGAUGUUUUCAUUAAUCAAGAACGAAAGUUAGGGGAUCGAAGACGAUCAGAUACCGUCGUAGUCUUAACCAUAAACUAGGCCGACUAGGGAUCGGAUGAUGUUAAUUUUUUAAUGACUCAUUCGGCGCCUUACG